GUGCUUACUUUGGCAGCACAUGUACUAAAAUUAGAAUGAUACAGAGAUUAGCAUGGCCCCUGUGCAAGGAUGGCAUGCAAAUUCAAGAAGCAUUCCAUACUUUC
rnacentral:snRNA from 1 species